rnacentral:lncRNA from 1 species
CCAGGUGUCACAUCACAAUACCCCUCACAAAUCCUUAUCUAGAGCACUGCACAAUUUUCUUGUGUGCUUCACGAUAGAGAACUCACCACCAAGCCAUCUAGAAGGUGGCAAACCUCUAAGAGUAACAAGAACCACCAACUAGCUUGCAACUUGAUCACUUAGUGCCACUUGAUGCAACCUCACGACGCAACAUACUAGAAAUCACUC